ACAAUUACCACGGGAGAGAUGGUGAACUUUCCUUCUUGGCAAUAUCUACUACCCCUCCUGGGUGGUAUUACAGGAGUUUACAGCAGUCUCCAACUUGGAAAUAGUAUCAGGAUGCUGCUCCAACGAUCUUUCACGUCAAGGUCAGCCCACCCCCCAGUUGGGAACUGGUGGGAGCUACAGCCUGAAAGGACAGCGGAAGGAGGAGGGAAGACACACUAUAUUCAUCUACUCCGACAAGCAUCACGGGCAAAGCAAAAGCAAUGGAGAUGACUGGUCUGUGGGGACGGGGGGUGGCACUCUCACAGGGAUGGCCGUGGCAGACACUGCUGAAGCCCAGAGCCACUACAACACUGCGACUUCAUGGCACACACAGUUAGGGGCAGUGAGAAAGGUUUACUUAACUGUUCUAGGCUGUAGCAAGGAUGGUUUAUGUUUGUGCUUAAAGGUGAAGAGAAGAAAAGAAACAAGGAGAGAAACUUUAGGUCAGAUAUAGAAAAUGAGAAUGAGCUCAAUGCAGAUGGUCAGUAAGCUAGACAUGCCCUUGCCACUCUAGCUACACUUGGGAACGUGCAGCUGGCUUUGCUGGGCCACCCUGCUGCCCAGCAAACCCAGACUCGACCUUUCCAGUCUCCAUUUCUACUCCAGAGAGAAUGUGCAAAAAAUCAAUCCAACACCACCUGUAAGUCCAGCAUUUCACAAAUCUCAUUGCAAAUGCAUCUGGGGACCCAGGGAACCCCGCUCUGUAUUCUAAAGGGAUGAACGUGUAAAGGUCACAGGCCCUAAGAGGCUCUACAGCCAUGAGCCUAUUGUCCACCCUUCUACCCUCAUCUCCCUUGUAUCAAAAGCUAGUCCUAAUUCUUAAGGAAACAGCAAUACUGCUCUGAAAACAAGAAUCCUUAAGUACUUUUCCAGAGAAGAUGUAGUUUUCUUUGGAAGAAGAAACCACAGUGGCCCACACCAGACAGCUUUGGCCAUCUGGACCUUAAAAAGCUUGGGGCCUCUCUGUGCCACACUAGGGGGAUAGGGCAUCAGAAGGUGGCCACUAAACAAUUUCCAACAUAUAAAA